UACGUAGGGUGCAAGCGUUGUCCGGAAUUAUUGGGCGUAAAGCGCUCGUAGGUGGCCUGUCGCGUCGGCUGUGAAAACUCGGGGCUCAACUCCGAGCUUGCAGUCGAUACGGGCAGGCUAGAGUUCGGCAGGGGAGACUGGAAUUCCUGGUGUAGCGGUGAAAUGCGCAGAUAUCAGGAGGAACGCCGGUGGCGAAGGCGGGUCUCUGGGCCGAUACUGACACUGAGGAGCGAAAGCGUGGGGAGCGAACAGG
rnacentral:rRNA from 1 species